CCUACGGGAGGCAGCAGUGGGGAAUAUUGCACAAUGGGGGAAACCCUGAUGCAGCGACGCCGCGUGAGUGAAGAAGUAUCUCGGUAUGUAAAGCUCUAUCAGCAGGGAAGAAAAUGACGGUACCUGACUACGACGCCCCGGCUACCUACGUUCCAGCAGCCGCGGUCAUACGUAGGGGGCAAGCGUUAUCCGGAUUUACUGGGUGUAACGGGAGCGUAGACGGCGCUGCAAGUCCGGAGUGAAAGCCCAUGGCUUAACCAUGGUACUGCUCUGGAAACUGUGGAGCUUGAGUGCGGGAGGGGCAGGCGGAAUUCCUAGUGUAGCGGUGAAAUGCGUAGAUAUUAGGAGGAACACCGGCGGCGAAGGCGGCCUGCUGGACCGUAACUGACGUUGAGGCUCGAAAGCGUGGGGAGCAAACAGGAUUAGAUACCCCAGUAGUC
rnacentral:rRNA from 1 species